ACUGAAGCUCGCGAGAGGAUCCUGGGGGCAGGCGCGUCGCGGUGGCAGUGUUUCUUGGGUGUGCGGGGCCGGGCGCCCCGUAGCCUCUGGUGAGCGAAAGAGACCGGGGCCGAGCGGGCGCAGGCUUGCCGGGGCUGCGGGCUGCGCUGGCGGCGGGGCCGGGUGGCGGUAGUGGCGGGAGUGACUGGCGGGAAUCCCCGCGGCCCCGGCGCUUGGGCUUACUGUGCACUUGAUGUAAGGGGAAAGUCGCUCGUCAACUGCUUGAAGGGCAGUUUUGCGGUCAUAUUUAUACCCAUUUUUAAUCGCAUGCAGAUUAAGGGGCGGCUUAUGCAGAACUUUCUAGGGAAGGAGUAGUACUUUUGGGUCAUUGGGUCACUGCCAUGGAAAGGUGCAGUAACUCCGGGGUGUUGCCAUGGCAAUGGUAAAUUGACGUGGGCACACUGGUGGGUGUGUCUGAAGGGCUUGUUGUUAGGGUGAACUGGGGACUAGAAAUGGGAUGCGGGCGGGAGGAAAGUAGUGUAGGUGCAGGUGGCAGUCAUAAGUGUCCCAUAAGUCUGAAUGUCUGAAUGUCUGAACUGUGUAGAUUUAAGGAGCAUUAAAGAGGCAAAAUAAUAGCAAGUGCUUGUGUAAUGCUUAGCGUGGGCCAGGCACUGUUCUAAAUGCUUGUUUCAUUUAAUCCUGACAGCAACCUUAUGAGGUAGGUACUAUUAUUCCUAUUAAGAAAAAAUGAGAGGGGUUAAUCUGCCUAAGCGCAAACAGCCCCUAAGUGGCAGAGCCAGCAUGGAAAUUCAGGCCCUGAGGCUUUUUUCAGGCUGUGUUACCAGCUCUUCCUCUCAAAGACGACUUUGAAGAGUAAGGGAGAGAGAGAAGGCAAGGAGCAUUCAAAAAUUGGGAAGACAGUUUGAAUAUUCAUCAGAGAGAUCCUUCCAGGGAGAUACUGAGGACGAGGACUAGAAAUAUAAGGCCAGCAGAAAUCAAGGAUGUAAAAAUCUCCCUAGAGAAGAAAAGCCAGAAAGGUAAAGAAUUUGAUAACUUCUUUAAUCUAAGCUCAAAAAGUAUUUCACAUUCGAGAAUUCACAGGGAGAAGAACAAGGGGCCAGUUUCAGAAGUCAAAAUACAAGUCACAACUUACGAAAGGCUUCAGAGUGUAGCCCCUCUGGCAGCCAGGUUUAGAGAAGCCCUAGCGGGGAAGGGAAGUGCAAAGAGGCAUCAGGGAAGCCAGGCAGGACCCAGAGCAAGGAGAAGGAAGAGAGUUUCCACAGGUGUUGCCUUCAGAGACAGGAGUGCCCUUGACAAGGAAAGAGGGCAACAAAACUACCCAGGAGAGAAACCCUUUAUCUGUAAGGAGUGUGGAAAAGCCUUUGGUCAGAGUGCAAGCCUUAUCGUGCACCAAAGAAUUCACACAGGGGAGAAACCUUUCCUAUGUAAUGAAUGCGGAAAAGGUUUCAGACAGAGAUCACACCUCAUACGACAUCAGAGGAUCCAUACUGGUGAGAAACCCUAUGAAUGCCAGGAAUGUGGGAAUACCUUCAGCCAGAGCUCAAAUCUCAUAGUUCAUCAGGGCAUCCACACUGGAGAGAAAUCUUUUGAAUGUGGUAAGUGUGGGAAAGCCUUCAGCCGGAGUUCAGGCCUCACUGUCCCUCAGAGGAUCCACACGGGGGAGAAGCCAUUUGAGUGUAAUGAAUGCGGCAAAGCUUUCAGUUGUAGUUCAUACCUUAUUGUGCAUCAGAGAAUUCACACAGGGGAGAAACCCUAUCAGUGUAAUGAGUGUGAAAGAGCCUUUGGCCAGAGCUCCCAUCUUAUUCUCCAUCAGACAACUCAUGCCCAGAAGAAACCUCAGCUGGCUACUUGGGUUAGGGCCCACUGUUAAUGGGGCAGAGUUGAAUGGUCAUGUUAUAUGCUUGCCUUCAGCCAGGCCAGCAUCUCAUAAAUACUAGGAAGUAUGUGAGAGGUCAUGGACUGUUCAUUGCUGGAAAUCUGGGUCCACAAACUCACUCUGCUUGUAUGGUGUUUUAUUCACUUGCCUUGUUUUUGUACAUGUGCCUCCAGUCAGAUUUGGAGUUCCAAGAGGUAGAUGCCAGGUCCUGUCUUCCACUUUGAUUGACAGGAAACUGAGGAGCUCUUCAUUUCUACAAAGUUGAUUAAAUUUUAAUUCAUUGAGAACUUCCUCUUAUCAAGAAACUCUUAAUCUGAUAAUCUUGCAAGAUCUCACCUGCUUUGAAGAUUUGUAAUUUUUCCAAUGUAACUCCAGCACAUUAAAGCUUACUUACUUUUCAUUGUUAUUUCAAAGCUUUAAUGUGCUAGAGUUGGGAAGCUUAGAAGGCCCACUGUGAGCAGUACUAAAAUUUAGAAUGUCACAUCCUCAUUCAAAUGUAGGCUGCCUUUAGGAGUGACCAAAACAGCGAAGGAUACAUAGGAUGAUAGAAUCAUGAAUCAAAGGAACCCUACCAGACCAGAACUGCAGACCAAAGUUAACAAGAUGAAGUAUUAAACCCUGUCCAUAGGGCUAAGGAGUCUGAGCCUCUCAGAACAGAAGUGUUCUGUCAGAAACACUGCAAUCCUUGACCAUUAGACAUGCUAGAGGGGUGUCUUUAAAAAUAUCCUUCUCUCUCAUCUUCAGUUGCUAGCUGCUCAGGGAUGAGAUCCUAGUCUUAAGGCCUGUUCUCUUCUCUCUAGACCAUAGAGCUUGACUUUUCCUUACAAGGAAAUAAAACAGAUCAUGUGUGUGUAUAAAAUUAAAAAGUAAUAUCCUAAUCAUCUGCCACUUACACAAAAAGAAAUUUAUUACCUUUAGACUAAAGGAAAAAUAUAAUAGGAAUGCAAUAUGUCUCGGUAUGUGCAGUCAUGUGCCACAUAAUUAUGUUUUGGUCAACAACAGACCACAUAUUUGAUGGUAGUCUCAUAAGGUAAUGGAGCUGAGAAAUUCCUAUGGCCUAGUGACUCUGCAGCUGUCAUAAUGUGGUAGCACAAUGCAUUACUCACAUGUUUGUGGUGAUGCUGGUGUAAAGCUGACCAUGUUGCCAGUUAUAUAAAAGGAUAGCACAUGCAGUUAUGUACAGUGCAUAAUACUUGAUAAAUAAAUGACUGUGUUACUGGUUUAUGUAUUUUACUGUGCUUUUCAUUGUUAUUUCAAAGUGUGCUCCUUCCACUUAUUUUUUCAAAGUUUACUGUAAAACAGUAUGCUGUGUUUGACCAGCAGCAGCCUCAUCUAUCUCAUGUUUACCACAUCUCUUGACUGCAUCAUUUCCUCUUGUGCUUGAUUUAAUCUCAUGUUUUGUUCAUCAUGUCUCCUAAGCAUUCAAAAUCCAUGGCUAAUUUUGCCAGUAAGAGGCCAUGCUGAGUAAUUGACCUGGAAACAAAAUUAAAAGUGAUUAAGGACUGUGAAGGUGGAAAAUCAGGGAUGGUUAUUGCUCACCAGUCAGGCAUGUCCCGUUUUACCAUAGCUGCCAUCCUAAAGAACAAGAGCAAAGUGAUAGAAGCUGUUAAAGGAUCUGCUUCAUUGAAGGCAAUGAGACUAACAAAAAUUUGAGAAGGGCCAAUAUCAGAUAUGGAUAAUAUCUGAUAUUGACCUAGAUUGAAGACCAGACACACAAGCAUGUCCCUCAGCACCAUGACAAUCACAGCUAAAGCAAAAAGCUUGUUUGUUACGUAGAUAGAAAAGGCUGGACCUGACUAUAUUGUUGAAUUUAUUGCUAGCUCUGGGUGGUUUAAAUGAUUCGAGAAUUGUUACUCAUUACACAAUUGUGAAAGUGAGUGCUAAGUCUACAAGUGCUGAUGUGAAGGCAGCUGAAUAAUUUUUGGAAACUCUAGAUAAGCUGAUUGUGGGGGAAAAUUACUUGCCAGAGCAAAUCUUUAAUAUGGAUCAAGGCUCCCUAUUCUGGAAAAAGAUGCCGGAAGGGACUGUCAUCCAUAAAGAGGCCAAGUCAGUGGCAGGUUUCACGGCUUUGAAGGACUGGCUAACAAUGUUUGGGGGCGAUGUUGCUGGCCACAAAUUAAAACCCUUUGUGAUUUGACACAGUGAGAACCCCAGGGCCUUCAAGCAUAUCAGUAAGCACACACUGCCGGUGUACUACAUGAGCAAUAACAAGUCAUGGAUGACCCAGCUUCUCUUCCAAUAUGCCCUCCUGAAUUGCUAUGCCAGUGAAAUGGAGAAGUACUGUUUGGAGAAUAACAUACCUUUCAAGAUUUUGCUUGUUGUUGAUAAUGCUCCUGUACAUCCUUUUAUUGGUGAUCUUUGUUUUAAUAUCAAACUGGUGUUUCUCCCUCUAAACAUCAACUCUUUGAUCCAACCAGUGGAUCAAGGAGUUAGAGCAGUUUUUAAGGCUCACUACCUAAAGCGGACGUUGCCCCAGGCUAUUGCUGCUAUUAUCUGAGGGAGACACUGAGAAGACACUAAUGCAAUUCUGGGAGGAUUACAGCAUCUAAGACUGCAUCAAGAACCUUGCUUAGGCUUAGGGUGAUGUCACCAAUGAGUGUAUGAAUGGCAUCUGGAAGGAGACACUCGAGGUUUGUUCAUGACUUCAGAGGAUUUGCCAUGGAUGACCAGGUUGCAAAAAUCCACAAGGCUGUGGUUGAGAUGGCAAACAGCUUUAACCUGGGUGUGAAUGAGGAUGACAUUGAGGAGCUCCUAGCGGUGGUUCCUGAGGAAUUGACUAAUGAGUUGUUGGAAAUAGAACAGGGACACAGCUGAAGAAGAGGCAAGAGAAAACAAAACUGCAGAAAACCACCAUCAAGAAAAUUUGCAGUAGGGAGUUUAGCAGAAGCUUUUGCAGACCUCAAGAAACUCCUUAAAAAGUUUGGGCCGGGCGCGGUGGCUCACUCCUGUAAUCCCAGCACUUUGGGAGGCCAUGGUGGGAAGAUCACGAGAUCAGGAGUUCAAGACCAGCCAGACCGACAUGGUGAAACUCCAUCUCUACUAAAAAUACAAAAAAAAAAAAAAAAAAGCCUGGGUGUGGUGGCACGCACCUGUAAUCCCAGCUACUAGGGAGGCUGAGGCAGGAGAAUCACUUGAACCUGGGAGGCAGAGGUUGCAGUGAGCCGAGAUCGUGCCACUGCACUCCAGCCUGGGUGACAGAGCAAGACUCAUCUCAAAAAAAAAAAAAAAAAAAAAAUUGAAAACAUGGACCCCAACACCAAAAGGUUUUCAUUAAUAGAGAGGAAUGUUCAUGGUGCAUUAUUUGUUUACUGGCAAAUCUAUGAUGAAAAAAGGAAAUACCAAGCAAACCACCAUGGACAUAUUUCUGAAAAGAGGGACACCUCCUUAAGAAGAGUCCCAGGCAGGUCCUUCAUGGGUAUUUCAGAAGAGGGCAUUGCUAUCAUAGGAGAUGACAGCUCUGUGCAUGUUACUGCCCGGGAAGACCUUCCAGUGGGACAAGAUGUGAAGGUGGAAGAUGAUGAUAUUGAUGAUUCUGACCUGUGUAUGCCUAGGCUAAUGUACUUGUGUCUUAGUUUUUAACAAAAAGUUGAAGUAAAUAAUUUAAAAGAAAAAUGCUUAUAAAAAUAAAAUAUUUUUGUAUAGCAUUACAGUGUGUGUUUUAAUCUAAGUGUUAUUACAAAAGUCAGAAAAUUUUAAAAGUUUAGUAAAAAGUUAACAUUAGGUUAACUUAUUGAAGAAAGAAAUUUUUAAGUAAAUUUAGUUUACUCUAAGUGUACAGUAUUU
rnacentral:lncRNA from 1 species